GGGGCCAUAGCUCAGAUGGGAGAGCACCUGCUUUGCAAGCAGGGGGUCGGCGGUUCGAUCCCGCCUGGCUCCACCA
rnacentral:tRNA from 1 species